GGGCCCUGCACCAGGUAUUUCUUCUUGUGUUUCCUCUUCUCCUCUUCUGAAGAGGGAUGAAGGAGAUCCUUUGCGAGAGGCAUGUUCUCGUGGGUAGUUUGUCUAAUUUUUGUAUUUUUAGCAGAGACGGG